GUGGUCCCACCUGAUCCCAUGCCGAACUCAGAAGUGAAACGCCGUAGCGCCGAUGGUAGUGUGGGGUCUCCCCAUGUGAGAGUAGGGAACCGCCAGGU
rnacentral:rRNA from 1 species